GCGUAUGCAAUUCUACCUUUGCAGAGGGAUAGGCCCACGAGAAAAUUUUGGGAUUAAUACCUCAUAGUAUGUGAGAAUCGCAUGGUUUUCACAUUAAAGUUCCAACGGUAAAAGAUGAGCAUGCGGUCCCAUUAGCUAGAUGGUAAGGUAACCGGCUUACCAUGGCGACGAUGGGUAGGGGUCCUGAGAGGGAGAUCCCCCCACACUGGUACUGAGACACGGACCAGACUCCUACGGGAGGCAGCAGUGAGGAAUAUUGGACAAUGGGCGCAAGCCUGAUCCAGCCAUGCCGCGUGCAGGAUGACGGUCCUAUGGAUUGUAAACUGCUUUUGUACAGGAAGAAACACUCCCUCGUGAGGGAGCUUGACGGUACUGUAAGAAUAAGGAUCGGCUAACCUCCGUG
rnacentral:rRNA from 1 species